CGAAAGCCUGACGGAGCAAGACCACGUGGGGGAGGAAGGUCUGUGGAUUGUAAACCCCUUUUCUCAGGGAAGAAGCUCUGACGGUACCUGAGGAAUCAGCCUCGGCUAACUCCGUGCCAGCAGCCGCGGUAAUACGGAGGAGGCAAGCGUUAUCCGGAAUUAUUGGGCGUAAAGCGUCCGCAGGUGGCGAUUCAAGUCUGCUGUCAAAGCACGGGGCUUAACUCCGUAAAGGCAGUGGAAACUGAAUAGCUAGAGUGCCGUAGGGGUAGAGGGAAUUCCCGGUGUAGCGGUGAAAUGCGUAGAUAUCGGGAAGAACACCAGUGGCGAAAGCGCUCUACUGGACCGCAACUGACACUGAGGGACGAAAGCUAGGGGAGCG
rnacentral:rRNA from 1 species